UUCGAGGUUUUUCAGGCACGGCGCUGUGGCAUUGCAUUGUUUAUUUUUACCCACAUUGACUCGUUGACAAUGAGCUCGCGUUCGUAGCGUUAUUAAUUUCAGUGGGGCGUGGACGCAAACACCCAAAGCUGGAGUUAUGCGCUACGUCAUCAGUGAUUCUACGUCGGUCUGUGAGUUGGUAAACCUACGCGACUUGCAUAUUUGGACGUACGGUGUGGAGUCGAAGGAUUGAUUGAUUCCGUGAUGCAAAAGUUUAAGAGAUGGUAAUGAUGCGAGGGAGAAAGCU